CCUACGGGCGGCAGCAGUGAGGAAUAUUGGUCAAUGGACGAGAGUCUGAACCAGCCAAGUAGCGUGAAGGAUGACUGCCCUAUGGGUUGUAAACUUCUUUUAUAUGGGAAUAAAACGUUCCACGUGUGGGAUUUUGUAUGUACCAUAUGAAUAAGGAUCGGCUAACUCCGUGCCAGCAGCCGCGGUAAUACGGAGGAUCCGAGCGUUAUCCGGAUUUAUUGGGUUUAAAGGGAGCGUAGGUGGAUUGUUAAGUCAGUUGUGAAAGUUUGCGGCUCAACCGUAAAAUUGCAGUUGAAACUGGCAGUCUUGAGUACAGUAGAGGUGGGCGGAAUUCGUGGUGUAGCGGUGAAAUGCUUAGAGAUCACGAAGAACUCCGAUUGCGAAGGCAGUUCACUGGACUGCAACUGACACUGAGGCUCGAAAGUGUGGGUAUCAAACAGGAUUAGAUACCCCAGUAGUC
rnacentral:rRNA from 1 species